rnacentral:lncRNA from 1 species
AAAUAGAUUGCUUAUUGUAUCACAUCUGAUCAAAUCUCAACUUCUAUAGGUGAUAAACGGUUUAAAAAAUAGAAAGUAACUCAAUGAAGUUCAAAUUUAUUUUUGGGAAAUGCUAACUGGUACCCCCGGGGAACUGGUUAAGAAUAUAAAAAAGGAAAUUAUAUAGUAAUUAAUGCAUUAAAAUAUGUUGAAAUAGUGACGAAUUUUAAUGAAGG